GAUGAAGAACGUAGCGAAAUGCGAUACGUAAUGUGAAUUGCAGAAUUCUGUGAAUCAUCGAGUCUUUGAACGCACAUUGCGCCCUCUGGUAUUCCGGGGGGCAUGCCUGUCCGAGCGUCAUUGCUGCCCUCAAGCACGGCUUGUGUGUUGGGCCCCCGUCCCGGUUCUUUAAGCCGGGACGGGCCCGAAAGGCAGCGGCGGCACCGUGUCCGGUCCUCGAGUGUAUGGGGCUCUGUCACCCACUCGUGUAGGUCCGGCCGGCGGCCAGCCUCUUCAACCAAACUUUUAACCAGGUUGACCUCGGAUCAGGUAGGGAUACCCGCUGAACUUAAGCAUAUCAAUAAGCGGAGGA
rnacentral:misc_RNA from 1 species